rnacentral:rRNA from 1 species
GACAGAGGGGGCAAGCGUUGCUCGGAAUUACUGGGCGUAAAGGGCGCGUAGGCGGGAUGGCAAGUCGGUCGUGAAAUCCCUCGGCUCAACCGAGGAACGUCGAUCGAUACUGCUGUUCUUGAGGAUUGCAGAGGAGACUGGAAUUCCCGGUGUAGCGGUGAAAUGUGUAGAGAUCGGGAGGAACACCGGUGGCGAAGGCGACAUCCUGGACCGGUAUUGACGCUGAGGCGCGAAAGCCAGGGGAGCAAACGGG